rnacentral:rRNA from 1 species
GAUGAACGCUGGCGGCGUGCUUAACACAUGCAAGUCGAACGAUGAAGCCCAGCUUGCUGGGUGGAUUAGUGGCGAACGGGUGAGUAACACGUGAGUAACCUGCCCUUGACUCUGGGAUAAGCCUGGGAAACUGGGUCUAAUACUGGAUAUGACUUCUCAUCGCAUGGUGGGGGGUGGAAAGAUUUAUUGGUCUUGGAUGGACUCGCGGCCUAUCAGCUUGUUGGUGAGGUAAUGGCUCACCAAGGCGACGACGGGUAGCCGGCCUGAGAGGGUGACCGGCCACACUGAGACUGAGACACGGCCCAGACUCCUACGGGAGGCAGCAGCGGGGAAUAUUGCACAAUGGGCGCAAGCCUGAUGCAGCGACGCCGCGUGAGGGAUGACGGCCUUCGGGUUGUAAACCUCUUUCAGUAGGGAAGAAGCGAGAGUGACGGUACCUGCAGAAGAAGCGCCGGCUAACUACGUG